rnacentral:rRNA from 1 species
GAUGAACGCUAGCGGGAGGCUUAAUACAUGCAAGUCGUACGGCAACACAGUUGCGAGCAAUCGCAACCGGUGGCGAGUGGCGCACGGGUGAGUAACGCGUAUGUAACCUACCCUUCUCCGGGACAUAACUCCGCGAAAGCGGUGCUAAUAUCCCAUACCAACUCAUCAAGACAUCUUCUUGAGUUGAAAGCAGCAAUGCGGUGAAGGAUGGGCAUGCGUCCCAUUAGCUGGUUGGUGAGGUAAUGGCCCACCAAGGCUACGAUGGGUAGGGGUUCUGAGAGGAAAGCCCCCCACACUGGUACUGAGACACGGACCAGACUCCUACGGGAGGCAGCAGUAAGGAAUAUUGGGCAAUGGUCGAAAGACUGACCCAGCCAUGCCGCGUGCAGGAUGAAGGCCCUAUGGGUUGUAAACUGCUUUUAGCCGGGAAUAAACACCCGUUUUAAACGGGCCCGAAGGUACCGCUGAAUAAGCAUCGGCUAACCCGUGCCAGCAGCCGACGG